UAGCACAGUAGGUAGUGCAUCAGUCUUGAAAGCUGAAGAUCCCGAGUUCAAUCCUCAA
rnacentral:tRNA from 1 species